GCUGCCGGUCAGUGAACUUUUGGCCUACUGUUGUCGCGUGCGCUAUGCGCGUAUGUGCACGCGAACAGGGAUAGCCGUCGAACAUCGGGAAGAAAAAGGACAAGCGGAGCGACGAGCAUGCGAUCUGUGACUUAGGAAUCGAAGAGGGCUGAACGAAGAGUCAUACGAUCGCGAUGCACUUGUGGCAAUGAGCAUUUUGACGUUUAGCAAGAUGAAAAGGCCAAGACAUAGUCGUAUACGAUUUGUGCAAUGCGGGGCUUCGCUGUCGGACAUACUAUCGCUGCGUAAAGCUCCAAAUCUAUAAUAUAAAUAGGAGGAGAAACAAGUUUAACAACCGCUUAAUGGCGUUGAGAUGGUUUACGGAAUUAUCUCUGUGCCAUGCAAAAUCUAUGUGUUACCGAGCAUUGACGUAUCGCUACGUCAUACAAAAUCAAUGCCGACUAUUGACGUACUAGUGCGUCAUAUAAGAACUAUGGGCACAGUAAACGAUCCCGGAUGUGAAACAUAGCGGUAAAUAUCAUAAAUUUAAUUCUCAAAUAACGUUGUCGAGAAACUGUUAAUAAUCUUCAAAUAUCUGACAGUCGGACAUUUUGUUUACACAUCUAACACGAGUAUCAACAUAUGUAUUAGUAUUAACAUUUUAAGUGUGAUUGCACACGAUGUUUUCAUUUAUA